rnacentral:rRNA from 1 species
GAUGAACGCUAGCUACAGGCUUAACACAUGCAAGUCGAGGGGCAGCAUGCAGGUAGCUUGCUAUCUGUGAUGGCGACCGGCGCACGGGUGAGUAACGCGUAUCCAACCUUCCCCGUAGUAGGGCACAGCCCGGCGAAAGUCGGAUUAAUACUCUAUGUUGUAUUUUGAGGACAUCUGACGAAUACCAAAGAUUUAUCGCUAAGGGAUGGGGAUGCGUCUGAUUAGCUUGUCGGCGGGGUAACGGCCCACCGAGGCGACGAUCAGUAGGGGUUCUGAGAGGAAGGUCCCCCACAUUGGUACUGAGACACGGACCAAACUCC